AAUAAACGUUGGCGGCGUGCUUAACACAUGCAAGUCGAGCGAGAAAAGUCUUCGGACUGAGUACAGCGGCAAACGGGUGAGUAACGCGUAGGAAUCUGCCUUUCAGUGAAGAAUACCCUCGAGAAAUCGAGGUUAAUACUGCAUACGUCUUGAAAAAGGAAAGAUGGCCUCUUUGCUGUCGCUGAAAGAUGAGCCUGCGUACUAUUAGCUAGUUGGUGGGGUAAAGGCCUACCAAGGCGAUGAUGGUUAGCCGGCCUGAGAGGGUGUACGGCCACACUGGAACUUAGACACGGUCCAGACUCCUACGGGAGGCAGCAGUGAGGAAUAUUGCGCAAUGGGCGAAAGCCUGACGCAGCGACGCCGCGUGGAGGAUGAAGGUCUUCGGAUUGUAAACUUCUGUUAAGCGGGAAGAAAUGAGAGGCUCUAAUACAGCCUUAAGAUGACGGUACCGCUAGAGAAAGCACCGGCUAACUUCGUGCCAGCAGCC
rnacentral:rRNA from 1 species